rnacentral:tRNA from 1 species
GCCUUCGUGGUGUAACAGGAAGCAUACCUGAUGCGUACUUGAGAGGUCUAGGGUUCGAAUCCUGGCGAAGGCA